UACAGGGGGUGCAAACGUUGCUCGGAAUCACUGGGCGUAAAGGGCGUGUAGGCGGGAAGGAAAGUCAGAUGUGAAAUCCCUGGGCUCAACCCAGGAACUGCAUUUGAAACUCCCUUUCUUGAGUGUCGGAGAGGAAAAGUGGAAAUUCCUGGUGUAGAGGUGAAAAUUCGUAGAUAUCAGGAGGAACACCGGUGGCGAAGGCGGCUUUCUGGACGACAACUGACGCUGGAGAACGCGAAAAGCGUGGGGGAGCAAACAGG
rnacentral:rRNA from 1 species